rnacentral:lncRNA from 1 species
AAAAAUGAUGCCUCCACCUUUCAGUAUUUUAAUAGAAGCUUUUAUUUUAAGCUUUUCAUCUCUGGGUCUCUGCAGCUGGAGUUACUAAAGUGGCUGCUUCUGAUCGCUCUUGCAGUCACUAGAAGGAAAUGGGAAUGACACUGACGUCCUAGGGCUGCCCUUGACAAAGGACCACAAACCGGGAGGCUUAGGACAGCAGAAACUUCUUGGCUGGGAGGCUGGAAGUCCAAAAUCAAGGUGUCAGCAGGGCCACACUCCCUCUGAAUGCUGUGGGCGGUUGGGGGGGGUCCUUCCUUCGUGCUCCCUGGCUUGCAGCUGCAUCACUCUAAUCUCUCCCUCUGUCACCCUGUGGCCUUCUCUGUAUCUGUGUCCCCAUCUGUGUCCAGAUUUCCCUCUUCUUACAAAGACACCAGUCAUUGGAUCAACACCCAUCUUAAUCCAGUGCGACCUCAGCUUAACUUGACCACAUCUGCAAAGAUUCUAUUUCCAAUCAAAUCCACAGUUACAGAUACUGUGGGUUAGAACUUUGAAGUUCUAAUCAAGGUCACAGUUACAGAUACCAUGGGUUAGGAUGUCAAAGACGCUACGUCCAAUCAAGGUCACAGUUACAGAUACCAUGGGUUAGGAUGUCGAAGACACUCUGUCCAAUCAAGGUCACAGUUACAGAUACUGUGGGUUAGGAUGUCGAAGACACUGUGUCCAAUCAAGGUCAUGGUUACAGAUACUGUGGGUUAGAACUUUGAAGUUCUAAUCAAGGUCACAGUUACAGAUACCAUGGGUUAGGAUGUUGAAGACACUGUGUCCAAUCAAGGUCACGGUUACAGAUACUGUGGGUUAGAACUUUGAAGUUCUAAUCAAGAUCACAAUUACAGAUACCAUGGGUUAGGAUGUCAAAGACGCUAGGUCCAAUCAAGGUCACAGUUACAGAUACUGUGGGUUAGAACUUUGAAGUUCUAAUCAAGGUCACAAUUACAGAUACCAUGGGUUAGGAUGGCGAAGACGCUAUGUCCAAUCAAGGUCGCAGUUACAGAUACUGUGGGAAUCAAAGAGUUAAUGCAUGCGCCAUUCUUAGAAUGACACCUGGCCUACAGUAAGUGCUCAAGUUAAAUUCUUGGUUCUUCAACACUAUCAAGACCUCACUGUGGCUUCUGGAGUUUGAACUGGCUGUAUUCCUAAUGGAGUUGUUCAUAACACACUAAUUUAAAAUAUUAGUGCAGCUGAGAGUUUCUAACCCCCAAAAUACUGUGUAAGGCUCUGCUCCUUCCGUGUAACUUCAUGCUUUCCUUAUGCAAUGACUGUGAACAUUGUUUGUAUAUCAGAAUCCCUAGAGAGCCUUGAAGUAGUA